rnacentral:rRNA from 1 species
CUACUAUGUUCAGAGUUUGAUCCUGGCUCAGGAUGAACGCUGGCGGCGUGCCUAACACAUGCAAGUCGAACGAAGCAUCGCGCCCGACAAAGCGGAGUGCUUGCACAAAGCGGAGUCAAUUGUGAUGACUUAGUGGCGGACGGGUGAGUAACGCGUGGGUAACCUGCCUUAUACAGGGGGAUAACAGUUAGAAAUGACUGCUAAUACCGCAUAAGCGCACAGUAUCGCAUGGUACAGUGUGAAAAGCCGAGACGGUAUAAGAUGGACCCGCGUCUGAUUAGCCAGUUGGCAGGGUAACGGCCUACCAAAGCGACGAUCAGUAGCCGGCCUGAGAGGGUGAACGGCCACAUUGGGACUGAGACACGGCCCAA